GAAGGUAGAGCUCAAGUGGUAGCGCACAUGCUUAGCACGUAUGAGGUCCUGGGUUUGAUCCCUAGUACCUCCA
rnacentral:tRNA from 1 species